rnacentral:misc_RNA from 1 species
GUGAAUCAUCGAAUUUUUGAACGCAAAUUGCACUCUCCUCGGAGACUAUGCAUGUUUGAGGGUUAGCCUAUAAAUAAUCGACAUCGUUGCUGUUCUGCGGUGACGUUCGUUGGAAAUUGGGUCAUCUUCCAUCUUUUUGGUUUUAAGCGAAUUUAAAAUUUCUUUUUGGUUUUCUGAAAGCUUCUAAGAUUAUUUCUUUUACACUCUUAAGGUAUCGAUCUUUUUUAGACGUGACCACCC